rnacentral:rRNA from 1 species
AGUGAACGCUGGCGGCGUGCCUAAUACAUGCAAGUCGAACGGAAUUUAAAAGAGCUUGCUCUUUUAAAUUUAGUGGCGCACGGGUGAGUAAUAUAUAGCUAAUCUGCCCCUUGCUGGAGGACAACAGUUAGAAAUGACUGCUAAUACUCCAUACUCCUUUUUACCAUAAGAUAAAUCGGGAAAGAAUUUCGGCAAGGGAUGAGACUAUAUCGUAUCAGCUAGUCGGUGGGGUAACGGCCUACCGAGGCUAUGACGCGUAACUGGUCUGAGAGGAUGAUCAGUCACAUUGGAACUGAGACACGGUCCAAACUCCUACGGGAGGCAGCAGUAGGGAAUAUUGCGCAAUGGGGGAAACCCUGACGCAGCAACGCCGCGUGGAGGAUGACACUUUUCGGAGCGUAAACUCCUUUUGUUAGGGAAGAAUAAGACGGUA